rnacentral:rRNA from 1 species
UACGUAGGGGGCAAGCGUUGUCCGGAUUUAUUGGGCGUAAAGAGCGUGUAGGCGGCUAUACAGGUCCGCUGUGAAAACUCGAGGCUCAACCUCGAGACGUCGGUGGAAACCGUAUGGCUAGAGUCCGGAAGAGGAGAGUGGAAUUCCUGGUGUAGCGGUGAAAUGCGCAGAUAUCAGGAAGAACACCCGUGGCGAAGGCGGCUCUCUGGGACGGUACUGACGCUGAGACGCGAAGGCGUGGGGAGCGAACAGG